rnacentral:other from 1 species
AUUCUGCCUUGUUCGUCAGGUGUGAUUUUUAUAAUCCAACACAUAAAUAUAGGGAUUUGUCCUCCCGUUGCGGAUUGCAGACCUCCCGCUUUUGCGGACGAAGGGAGCGCGAAACAAUGGGGGCAUUGCCCACCUGCUGAGUGCGGGUUUUAUGCUUCACAUCAACGGCAAGGCGGUUAUU